AACGGCGAGCGAGCGGGAAGAGCUCAAAUUUGAAAGCUGGCACCUCCGGUGCCCGCGCUGUAAUCUCGAGACGCGUUUUCCGUGCGGCUCUAUGGACAAGCCCCUCGGAAUAGGGCAUCGUAGAGGGUGAGAAUCCCGUACUUGCCAUGGAAGAACCGUGCUUUGCGAUACACGCUCUAAGAGUCGAGUUGUUUGGGAUUGCAGCUCAAAAUGGGUGGUAGACUCCAUCUAAAGCUAAAUAUCGGGGAGAGACCGAUAGCGAACAAGUACCGUGAGGGAAAGAUGAAAAGCACUUUGGAAAGAGAGUUAAAAGUACGUGAAAUUGUCGAAAGGGAAGCACUUGAAGUCAGCCAUGCUGCUUGAGACUCAGCCUGGCCUUUGGGCUUGGUGUAUUUCUCGGUGGCAAGCCAGCAUUGGUUUGGGUCGUCGGAGAAGCGCAUAGGGAAUGUAGCGUCUCCGGACGUGUUAUAGCCUUAUGCAGGAUACGACGACCUGGAUCAAGGAACGCAGUGUGCCUCUGGGCGGGUCUUCGGACACCUUCACACUA
rnacentral:rRNA from 1 species